AACAGGUUCAACAGUCUGAAACCCUGGGCAGGACAAGACGAUCUGCUUCUGAGGACAAUCGCAGUUGUUAAUCACUUGCACGUUCCAUUCAGCUUCCAGCACCAAACCCUGCAACAAAAUCCACCAACUCAAACCCAGAAAGGGGAGAGAAAGAAAGCUCUAAAGGAAUAGGAUGAGGAUUGCUGCAAUCAUGGCGGAGAGGUUGAUCAUAGCAGAAGGGAGUGCUUUUGAGAAUCAGAAGAAAGCCUAAAGCCAGAUGAAACUGAACGAACUGAACUCCGGCUCCUUUUUGUUUCUUACAAAAAGCGAGUGAGGAAGUGGGGGAGAAAUGACAGAGAAGAAGAUAUUGGAACUAAUCCACCCAAAAUUUAUAACAUGAAACUUAAUUAUUUUCCAAUGUAGCAUGAAUUGAAAUAUCUUUUGAUAAUUUCAACGAUAUUUUGUUCACAUAUUGAUUGAAGUAUAUUGUAUGAUUGAUGUGUCUUCGUUUAUAUAAAAAAUAAAUGGAUAGAAAAGUCUGGAAGGCUACGUGUGGAGGUUGAUGCUAGUAUUAAUAGGUGGUGACAUAAAGCAUUGAAAAAGCUCCCUCCCACUAAUUAAACUAGUGAACCCUAUAACCUUUCUUUUUCAACUUUUGAAGCUUUUGUUGGUUUGGAUAACAAAAAAACCUUUUUCUAAAGCGUUUUCUGUUUGCUUCAGCUGGUAUAAAAUGACUUUUUAAGUGUUUAAAAGCCGUUUUAAUGCUUAAUUUUUUUUUUUUGAGCAUUUGAAAAGUAGAAAUAAAGUCGAAAUUAAAAUUAUUGUCAAAUCAAUUCCUUAUAUAUUUGGAUUAGGAUGCUUUAUUUAUUUAUUUUUUUCAAAGGAAUAAUGGAUUAAAGGAUCACUCAAUCAAGAAGAAGAAAAGAUUUUCUUUUCUUUUCUUUUCUUGAGAAUAUUAUUUUAAAAGCUUUUUAAAAUUUAUGAUUUUGGCUGAAAAAGAUGUAAGUUUGUGGAAGAGAAUCAUUUUGUUAUACCUUUGGAAAGGAGAGAGAGGAAGCUGACAGCCAUUUACAGGGAAUUUAUUUUUUCUUCCUCUGCUUUUAAGAAAUAAGUUAUUAUUUUCUGAGGAAAGGGAAAAGAAUAAAUAC